rnacentral:rRNA from 1 species
CCUACGGGGGGCAGCAGUGGGGAAUAUUGCACAAUGGGGGAAACCCUGAUGCAGCGACGCCGCGUGAGUGAAGAAGUAAUUCGUUAUGUAAAGCUCUAUCAGCAGGGAAGAAAAUGACGGUACCUGAGUAAGAAGCCCCGGCUAACUACGUGCCAGCAGCCGCGGUAAUACGUAGGGGGCAAGCGUUAUCCGGAUUUACUGGGUGUAAAGGGAGCGUAGCCGGCAGUGCAAGUCAGAUGUGAAAGGCGGGGGCUCAACCCCCGGACUGCAUUUGAAACUGUACGGCUGGAGUGCAGGAGAGGUAAGUGGAAUUCCUAGUGUAGCGGUGAAAUGCGUAGAUAUUAGGAGGAACACCAGUGGCGAAGGCGGCCUGCUGGACGGUAACUGACGGUGAGGCUCGAAAGCGUGGGGAGCAAACAGGAUUAGAUACCCGGGUAGUC